rnacentral:rRNA from 1 species
CGGACGGGUGAGUAACGCGUGGGUAACCUGCCUCAUACAGGGGGAUAACAGUUAGAAAUGACUGCUAAUACCGCAUAAGCGCACAGUACCACAUGGUACGGUGUGAAAAACUCCGGUGGUAUGAGAUGGACCCGCGUCUGAUUAGCUGGUUGGUGGGGUAACGGCCCACCAAGGCGACGAUCAGUAGCCGACCUGAGAGGGUGAUCGGCCACAUUGGGACUGAGACACGGCCCAG